GCCGGCGGCUUACCCAUAACCGAGCAGUUGAUGUCCGGCUGGGAACCGACUGGGCCCACCUGGAAGACCCAGGUGCCCAGCAGAUCAGGAUGAAAAGCUGGAGGGCCAGAAAAAGGAAGUAGCUUGCCCAGGAUGAGGAAGGAAGCUGAUGUCCUGCCCCAUUCUGGACUCUGAACAGAGAAAGGAAGAUAUGCAACCUAUAAUAAUGGGUCCUUUCCCACCACUAUCUAUUGAUGAGGUAAUGGAGAAGACCUCAACUUGAGGAACUUGAGAAUAGCCAGACCACCAUAAACUGUCUUGUGAUCACCACCAGACUGAUGGCAUUCCCUCAUACCUUCCCAUGGCCGUCCCUCACCGAAUUUCCUUUAAAAAAGGAGACCAAGAACCCCCAAAGUCUCUCUUGCUGGUGACAUAUGUAUUCCUUGCUUUCCUAAAUAAAUCUCUGUG